UACAGAGGUCUCAAGCGUUGUUCGGAAUCAUUGGGCGUAAAGAGCGUGUAGGCGGCCCGAUAAGUCCGCUGUGAAAGUCCAGGGCUCAACCCUGGGAUGCCGGUGGAUACUGUCGGGCUCGAGUCCGGAAGAGGAGUGUGGAAUUCCUGGUGUAGCGGUGAAAUGCGCAGAUAUCAGGAGGAACACCAAUGGCGAAGGCAGCACUCUGGGACGUGACUGACGCUGAGACGCGAAAGCGUGGGGAGCAAACAGG
rnacentral:rRNA from 1 species